UCGCAUGCGUCGUAAGUUAUGUAGUGAGAAUAUAUUAAAAUUAUUGUAGUAAACUUUGUUUAUUAUAAAAAAUAAAUAUUAAAUAAUGGAUCCAAGUGAAGUAGAAUUUCUUGGUGAAAAAGAAUUAGUCACUAUUGUACCCAAUUUUAGUUUUGACACAAUUCAUUUGAUUUCUGGCUCGGUAGGUCCUUUUCGAGCUGGUUUACCUGUCAAAAUUCCGAUUUGGUUGGCUGUAAAUUUAAAACAACAGCAAAAGUGUCGAAUUAUUAAUCAAGAGUGGAUGGAUGCCGAAAGUUUAAAUGAAGCGAAGGAAGAAGAAAAAUUAUCAAAAUUAUUUACAAAAAUGCCUAGUAAUCAUUAUAUGGAUGAAACGCAACUUUUAUUAAGUGCUGCAAGUGAUGAUAUACACGAAGCAGAUAAAAUAAGAACAGCAGUGAAAGAUUUGUGGGAUAUAAGAAUGUCAAAGCUUCGUACAUCUAUAGAUGCAUUCCUCAAAAGUGAUGGAAUGCAUGCAAAAUUAGAUCAUUUAACUGCUAUGGAAAUCAAUAGUGUGCGCCCGUUACUUCCACAUGCUCUUGAUCAAAUGAUGAGAAUUCAAACUAUUGGAAAAUCAACACAACUUCAACAACAUUUAAAUAAGAUCCUGGAAAUUCUGCAACACACAAAGAGAACAACGAUCUUAUCCAUUGUUUCCUCCAAUUUCCAAUGCAAAUAGCCAUCUUUCCGCUCAAAAAAUUACAGUCUAUCAAAUCGUUUCGACUCGACUCGACGAAGCGAAAGUAGAUCAAUUAACGAAACUUUACAAAAUCAUGACAAUUUCGUGUUUGUUCCUGAGAAACAGAGGAACGAUGGAUCGUGGAAUAAUCAUCUUCAAUAUUUUUGAAUCUGAACGAGUGGAUCGUCGAACUGUUUUGGUGUUCAUCCAACGAAGAACGUGGGUAGCGAUUAAUUGGGUAACAGGUAGUUGUUACCAGGCACUCCUAUCUACGAGUGUGCACCUCUCAUGCCCAAUAAACAAGUCGUUUGACAUUCCAUCCACUGGUGAAAUAUGGAAUUCUUCAGAUAUGCGGUUUCGUACGAAAUCUUUUCCU